rnacentral:rRNA from 1 species
GAUGAACGCUGGCGGCGUGCUUAACACAUGCAAGUCGAACGGAAAGGCCCAAGCUUGCUUGGGUACUCGAGUGGCGAACGGGUGAGUAACACGUGGGUGAUCUGCCCUGCACUUCGGGAUAAGCCUGGGAAACUGGGUCUAAUACCGGAUAGGACGAUGGUUUGGAUGCCCUUGUGGACAGUUUUUUCGGUGUGGGAUGAGCUCGCGGCCUAUCAGCGUGGUGGUGGGGUAAUGGCCUACCAAGGCGGCGACGGGUAGCCGGCCUGCGGGGGUGUACGGCCACAUUGGGACUGAGAUACGGCCCAGACUCCGCAGGGAGGCAGAAGUGGGGAAUAUUGCACAAUGGGCGCAAGCCUGAUGCAGCGACGCCGCGUGGGGGAUGACGGCCUUCGGGUUGUAAACUCCUUUCGCUAGGGACGAAGCGUUUUUGUGACGGUACCUGGAGAAGAAGCACCGGCUAACUACGUG